rnacentral:misc_RNA from 1 species
UACGUAGGUGGCAAGCGUUGACCGGAAUUAUUGGGCGUAAAGCGCGCGCAGGCGGCUCCUUAAGCCCGAUGUGAAAGCCCACGGCUCAACCGUGGAGGGUCAUUGGGAACUGUGGGACUUGAGUGCAGAAGAGGAAAGUAGAAUUCCAUGUGUAGCGGUGAAAUGCGUAGAGAUGUGGAGGAACACCAGUGGCGAAGGCGACUUUCUGGUCUGUAACUGACGCUGAGGCGCGAAAGCGUGGGGAGCAAACAGG